rnacentral:rRNA from 1 species
CCGGCGAUGUCCGAAUGGGGAAACCCAGUGCAAUUCGUUGCACUAUCGUUAACUGAAUACAUAGGUUAACGAGGCGAACCGGGGGAACUGAAACAUCUAAGUACCCCGAGGAAAAGAAAUCAACCGAGAUUCCCCCAGUAGCGGCGAGCGAACGGGGAGCAGCCCAGAGUCUGAAUCAGCUUGUGUGUUAGUGGAACGGUCUGGAAAGUCCGACGGUACAGGGUGAUAGUCCCGUACACCAAAAUGCACAGGCUGUGAACUCGAAGAGUAGGGCGGGACACGUGGUAUCCUGUCUGAAUAUGGGGGGACCAUCCUCCAAGGCUAAAUACUCCUGACUGACCGAUAGUGAACCAGUACCGUGAGGGAAAGGCGAAAAGAACCCCGGCGAGGGGAGUGAAAAAGAACCUGAAACCGUGUACGUACAAGCAGUGGGAGCACCUUCGGGUGUGACUGCGUACCUUUUGUAUAAUGGGUCAGCGACUUAUAUUCUGUAGCAAGGUUAACCGUAUAGGGGAGCCGCAGGGAAACCGAGUCUUAACUGGGCGUUAAGUUGCAGGGUAUAGACCCGAAACCCGGUGAUCUAGCCAUGGGCAGGUUGAAGGUUGGGUAACACUAACUGGAGGACCGAACCGACUAAUGUUGAAAAAUUAGCGGAUGACUUGUGGCUGGGGGUGAAAGGCCAAUCAAACCGGGAGAUAGCUGGUUCUCCCCGAAAGCUAUUUAGGUAGCGCCUCGUGAACUCAUCUUCGGGGGUAGAGCACUGUUUCGGCUAGGGGGUCAUCCCGACUUACCAACCCGAUGCAAACUACGAAUACCGAAGAAUGUUAUCACGGGAGACACACGGCGGGUGCUAACGUCCGUCGUGAAGAGGGAAACAACCCAGACCGCCAGCUAAGGUCCCAAAGUCAUGGUUAAGUGGGAAACGAUGUGGGAAGGCACAGACAGCCAGGAUGUUGGCUUAGAAGCAGCCAUCAUUUAAAGAAAGCGUAAUAGCUCACUGGUCGAGUCGGCCUGCGCGGAAGAUGUAACGGGGCUAAACCAUGCACCGAAGCUGCGGCAGCGACACUAUGUGUUGUUGGGUAGGGGAGCGUUCUGUAAGCCUGCGAAGGUGUGCUGUGAGGCAUGCUGGAGGUAUCAGAAGUGCGAAUGCUGACAUAAGUAACGAUAAAGCGGGUGAAAAGCCCGCUCGCCGGAAGACCAAGGGUUCCUGUCCAACGUUAAUCGGGGCAGGGUGAGUCGACCCCUAAGGCGAGGCCGAAAGGCGUAGUCGAUGGGAAACAGGUUAAUAUUCCUGUACUUGGUGUUACUGCGAAGGGGGGACGGAGAAGGCUAUGUUAGCCGGGCGACGGUUGUCCCGGUUUAAGCAUGUAGGCUGAUUGUCCAGGCAAAUCCGGAUAAUCAAGGCUGAGGUGUGAUGACGAGGCACUACGGUGCUGAAGUAACAAAUGCCCUGCUUCCAGGAAAAGCCUCUAAGCAUCAGGUAACAUUAAAUCGUACCCCAAACCGACACAGGUGGUCAGGUAGAGAAUACCAAGGCGCUUGAGAGAACUCGGGUGAAGGAACUAGGCAAAAUGGUGCCGUAACUUCGGGAGAAGGCACGCUGGUGUGUAGGUGAAGUCCCUGCGGAUGGAGCUGAGACCAGUCGAAGAUACCAGCUGGCUGCAACUGUUUAUUAAAAACACAGCACUGUGCAAACACGAAAGUGGACGUAUACGGUGUGACGCCUGCCCGGUGCCGGAAGGUUAAUUGAUGGGGUUAUCCGUAAGGAGAAGCUCUUGAUCGAAGCCCCGGUAAACGGCGGCCGUAACUAUAACGGUCCUAAGGUAGCGAAAUUCCUUGUCGGGUAAGUUCCGACCUGCACGAAUGGCGUAAUGAUGGCCAGGCUGUCUCCACCCGAGACUCAGUGAAAUUGAACUCGCUGUGAAGAUGCAGUGUACCCGCGGCAAGACGGAAAGACCCCGUGAACCUUUACUAUAGCUUGACACUGAACAUUGAGCCUUGAUGUGUAGGAUAGGUGGGAGGCUUUGAAGCGUGGACGCCAGUCUGCGUGGAGCCAACCUUGAAAUACCACCCUUUAAUGUUUGAUGUUCUAACGUUGGCCCCUGACCGGGGUUGCGGACAGUGUCUGGUGGGUAGUUUGACUGGGGCGGUCUCCUCCCAAAGCGUAACGGAGGAGCACGAAGGUUAGCUAAUCCUGGUCGGACAUCAGGAGGUUAGUGCAAUGGCAUAAGCUAGCUUGACUGCGAGCGUGACGGCGCGAGCAGGUGCGAAAGCAGGUCAUAGUGAUCCGGUGGUUCUGAAUGGAAGGGCCAUCGCUCAACGGAUAAAAGGUACUCCGGGGAUAACAGGCUGAUACCGCCCAAGAGUUCAUAUCGACGGCGGUGUUUGGCACCUCGAUGUCGGCUCAUCACAUCCUGGGGCUGAAGUAGGUCCCAAGGGUAUGGCUGUUCGCCAUUUAAAGUGGUACGCGAGCUGGGUUUAGAACGUCGUGAGACAGUUCGGUCCCUAUCUGCCGUGGGCGCUGGAGAAUUGAGGGGGGCUGCUCCUAGUACGAGAGGACCGGAGUGGACGCAUCACUGGUGUUCGGGUUGUCAUGCCAAUGGCACUGCCCGGUAGCUAAAUGCGGAAGAGAUAAGUGCUGAAAGCAUCUAAGCACGAAACUUGCCCCGAGAUGAGUUCUCCCUGAGACUUUAAGUCUCCUGAAGGAACGUUGAAGACGACGACGUUGAUAGGCCGGGUGUGUAAGCGCAGCGAUGCGUUGAGCUAACCGGUACUAAUGAACCGUGAGGCUUAACCUUACAACGCCGAAG